GCGAGGGUGGCGGAACUGGCAGACGCGCCAGGUUUAGGUCCUGGUCCCGAAAGGGGUGCAGGUUCGAGUCCUGUCCCUCGCA
rnacentral:tRNA from 1 species